UGGGGCGCGCGCGCCCCGCGCCGCCUCCGCGGCGUCCCCGCCCCGCGCGCUCUGCCCGGCCCGCGCACCGGGAGUGGGGCCGCUGUGCCUUCGCCGUGGCGCCCUCCGGGGGCUGUUCACGUCCCUACCGUUCCGGGAGGAGACUGUUGGGAAAUGUAGCGAAAUGCUUUGCUAUACUACUAGGGAUGGAAGCUUUACCAUGUGGGAUGAGGGUUCAACAAGCUACCCUAUAGUGAGAAUCCAAUGGAGAAGCCUAUAGGUGAAAAUCUGGAGUCUUAGACAAUCAAAGAGAACUUCAUAACCUUGAAAACAACAUGUGAAUGAACUUGUAAAUGAAUCCUUCCAUUCCGGUUGAGUUCUGAGAUUAUGGCAGUAUUGCCUGAUAGCCCAACCACAACUCUGAGAAGACCUGAGCCAGAACCAGUCAGCUAAGCCAUUCCUAGAUUCCUGACCAUCAAAAACUGUGAGAUAAUAAUUUUUGUCUUUUUCUGCCACCAAAUUUGAAAUAAUGUGUUAUGUGUCAAUACCUAAUCAGUAGGGUAUGUGAGCUGUGACAGCAUACUACCUUGAAUAUUUUUAAAACACAGAUGACAGAUUAUGAGACCUCAUUUGAAUAUUAAGAUGAUUGCUUAUCAGUUUACACUAGUUGCUUUAAUUACUUUCAUUAGAUUUAGAAACAGUCUAUUUGAAAGAACACUUUAUAUAUACUUAGAUUUUUAAUAUUAGUUGGAAAGCAUAAAACCUUACUUGCUUUCAACUUUCUGUCAAAUCCGUAUAUAUUGAAUUCUUUUAUAUUAUUUGUCUUACAUGAAAGAACUGUAUUAGUGAUUUUUGUUUAGGUUCCUUUUGGGGAAUAAAGAGAAUCAGCCCUUAGCAUUCAGCAUAUUUAGGGGCUGACACUGUGAUGUAGCAGGUUAAGGCACUGCUUGCAAUUCCAGCAUCCCAAAUUUGAGUGCCUAUUGGUUGUUUGACUUGUGAUCCAGCUUUCUAUUAAUAGACCUUGGAGUUGAGGAUGGCCCAAAUAAUUAGGCCCCUGACACUCACGUGGGAAACUACCAUUGAGUUCCUGGUUUCUGAUUUCAGCCUGGCCCAGAUCUGGUUAUUGCAGUCAUUUGGGGAAUGAACCAGCAGAUGGAAGAUCUCUGGCUCUCCCUCCUUCUCUGUCAUUCUGCCUUGCAAACAAGUAAAUAAAUACAUUUUUAAACAAAAAGUGUGUGUGAUGCUACACAUGCAAAAGAUUUUAAGCAAUUUAGCACGUUAAUAAGAAAAACAUCUUUUGGUUUUGGCUCUCAUGAGUUGCUUACUUCUGAAGGUAAUCACACUCUCUUUAGCUUUUAUAGUAACCUGUUUAUAUCCAAUUAAGAUAAAUGCCAAUGAUGGAAUAAAGACAGUUGCUUCCAAGAAACUUUCUUACACUACCUUAUGUGUAACCCUAUUCCUAAUUUUCUAUAUACAGUCAUGUAGGAAAAGAAAGGAUUUUGGACUUAAGUUAUAUGCCACUUUAAAAUGCUUAUGCAGUCAACCUAUUAUUUAUAUUCAUGUCUGUUAAAUUCUCAGCUUAUAAAUCUGCUGGUUAUUGAUCAAUGAUGGUUUGGCUUUGACAGCCAAAAUUUUAUGUUGAUAAUGAUAAAUUUUGUGCUUUAUUACAUCUAUCAAAUAGUGUAUUACUUUACUUUUGGGGUAGGUUUAACUAAACCUAGUCCAAGAAAUAUACUGACUAUAGAAUUAUUAUAUGGCAACAUCCCAAUUCAAUAUGUGACUUAAAAAAAAAGAGAAAGGCAAAUGUUGGGGUACACCAGGAUAAGCUGGCACUUGGUGACAGCUGCAUCCCAUAUUAUAGUGCCUUUUCAAAUCCUGGCUCCUCCACUUAUAAUCCAGCAGUGGGUGGUGGCCCAAGUACUUGAGUCCCUGCAGCCCAUGGGAGAGCUCGUUGGAGUUCCACCUCUUGGCUUUGACAUAGCUCAACCUCAGCUGUUGUGGCAUUUGGAGAGUGAACCGGCAGAUGGAAGAUAUUCAUUCUCUCUCUCUCUCUCUCUCUCUCUCUCUCUCUCUCUUUCUCAGCACUCUGCCUUUCAAAUCAAUCGAUCAACCAUGAAAAAGAAAGGGAUAUAAAUUAAAUAUAAAUUAUGUCAUUUAAUAAUUUUUUUCACAAAAUAGCAGCAUCUAGUGACCUAUAAAGAGCCUCCGUCAGGGUGUUUCUGAUGUAUCUUUGCUCUUCAGUUUGAAUCUGGCAUUAGUUGUCACAGUGAGUUCAGCUGACAGCCAGAUUAUCAGGAUCUCUUGCUUUAUAGAUUCAGUUUUUUGUGAAACUAAAUCGACCUCCCCCCCAAAAAUUUAUUUAUUUAUUUAUUUGAGGGACAGAGACAGGACAGACAGAGCUUCUAGAUAUGUCCACAGCACUCCUCAAAUGCCAGCAAUAGCCAUGCUGAAGUUGGAAUCUGGGAACUCAAUUCAGUUCUCCUAUGUGGGUGGCAGAGACUCAGUACUCUGGCCAUCACCUGCUGGCUCCCAGGAUGUACCUUAGCAAGAAGGAGAAAUGUGAAGUGGAGUGGUGACUUGAACACAGGCACUCUAUUACUCUAAGCAGCAUCUUAACUGCUGGGCCAAAUGUCUGCCCUUGAGCUUUUAAUUUUCAGUUGUGUUUUUAGCCUAAUGUCCAUAUUGCUAUUCUUCCUACUAUUUUAAAAUUAUCUAAUAUAGACCCUUGUAUGUAGACAGUGCCAAUGAGUUUCUGUGACUAAAAUAGAUAAAUUACUUUUGAAAAAUCAAACUAAAGACUAUCUUUGAACAAAGAGCUAUAAAAAGAAAUUUGUCUUUGAAAGUAAUUAAAAUCUGCCUUUUCAGUUUUUAUAGCAGAACAAAGUAAUGUAAGCUAUUUUUAUCACUGAUUGGCUUAAUAGUAUAUGAAUAUUCUUUAAACUUAUUGCUUGAUAAUCCAACAUCCUGACUAUAAUGUAUUCAUACUUUGAACUUUCUUAAAUACUGCUUAUUUGAAGAAAGUUCCUGACAUUAUCUUUAAUUAUGAUGAAUAAUUAUGGUGUGCACCAGUUUGAUUAAAAAAACAAUGUAAAUACUGUCUUUUAUAUGCAAAGAAAUUAGUAGUAAUUGAAUAUUUUUUUCUGUCAAAAUCCCUUUGCCAAGAUCUGCAUGAUACAAUCAAUAAGACAAUGUGAGACUGAUUUCAAACUCAAGGCCUUACUCUGUGUUUCAGUACAUUUUGCUCACUUAUCUUGAACAUUACAUGCAGGGAUAGGAUCUCACUCUCACUGUAUUCUUAACUCUGAAACGAUUUUAAAUAAUUCUCAUGGAAAUCACCUCCAAAGUACGUGGAAUGGCAAUUGCUAACUUAAAUUCAUGUUCACACCUAGUUCCACAUUAACUGUAUAAAACAAGGGCAAGCAGUAGUUUCUGUCCAACUCUUUCUUUAUCUGAAGGCUGCUUAUAUUUUGUGUAAAUUAAUUGAACUGCAUAACUUGUUAUGUAUAUAUAUUAUAAAAUGCUUAUUAUAUGUUAAAUAUUUAUGUUCAAAAACUGAAAGAAGCGCUAGCUUUGUGGAGCAGCCAUUUAGGCCACUGCUUAGGAUGCCAUCAUCCCAUAUCAGAGUGCUGGCUUAAGUCACAGCUACUCUGCUUCCAAUCCAGUUUCUUGCUAAUGUGCUUGGGCAGGCAGUGGAAGAUGGUCCAAGUAUUUGCAUCCCUGCCAUCCAUGUGAGAAACUAGGAUAGAGUUCCUGGUUUCUGGCUUCAGCCUGGACCAGUCCUGGCCAUUGUGGCCAUUUUUGGGGGGUGAACUAGUGGAUGGAGGAGCUCUCCUUCUCUCUGAAGAAACUUUCUGCCUUUCAAAUAAAUAAAUAAAUAAAUAGAUGAAAUUUUCUGCCUUUCAAAUAAAUCUUCAAAAAAACAGGAAGAGGCAAAAAUUAAGAAUUUUUGAGACAUCCUUGAUAUUAUAAGCACUGUUUUGCAGGGUCUUAGUCCACCCAUACAAGGAUGGACUGGGUCCAAGGAAAGGUAAGUGCUCGCCCGUUCUGCAGCCUCCUGAUCCCAGAGACAAUCAGACGCAGCGGGGAGUCAAGUCGUAACAGAGCCUUUUAUAGCACAAAACUGCAAAGUCAUUGGGGCAGGGCUAAGGACCAAACAAUCACUUAAAUGGUCAUUUUACAGGGUGAUUUCUAUAGGACUAGCCAUAUGUCUAUACACUUGUUACUAGUUUUGUUACCUCCCCUGAUGUUGCAUGGCCAGUUAGCUUUAGUGGUAAACAACUUUGGAUUUCACCCACCUUACUUCCUCUGGGCACCAUCUUUGAAUUGCUUUGUGUAACUAAUUUCCCCACACUGUUUGAAUCUUUCAAGAUUAAUGGAGGGUAUUUUUUAAUGAAAUAAUUAUUUUAAUUCCUUUAAAAUUUAAUACCAAAAAUUUCCUUAUCAAUAUAAUUUAAUUCCAUAUUAAUAUUUACUUUUGUACUUGCCUUAUAGACCAGGGGUGGAGAACCUUUUUAUUUUAUUUUAUUUUUUUGCCAAGGGCUAUUUGGAUAUUUAUAACAUUUUUCACGGACCAUACAAUGUUGUCAGCUUAAAAACUAGACUGCUAUAGAUUUAUUGAAUUUCUGGUCCUAAACAGAAGUUGCCUGACAGGGACAGACCAAAUGAUUUUGUGGGCUUAUAUGUCCCACUGCCUGGACAUUUCUUAUCCCAUUUAUAAAUAAUAGCUCAAUUAAUAGUUUGUAAAACAUAGCCUUUUUAACACUGAUCUAUCCCUCAAAUUCAGCAUUAGUCAUUUAGUUAACACGACAUUGUAAUUAAAGUUUGGAGUUUUAAAUAACUUAAGUAGACUCAUCUAUUCCUGAGGUAACUUUAAAAUAGGCAGCAUUAUCACUCAGUAGAAGCCUGCAGUAAAAUUUAAUGCCAAAGUGACUUUUCUAACUGUAUAGAUUUCACAACUGAUUCACACAAAAAUAUUAUUCUAUUUGAUGGUCCCCAAAAUAGUAGAUAUAGAAAUGGAAAAGAAUCAUUGAGGGAGGAGUUCGAAUUGGAAUUUUAUGAUUAGGCAGCAGGAAUGUCGUGUAAUUCGCUUUAGUCAUCAACUUUCAAGACAUCAAACAGACUGAAAGGUACAAUUAGAACAAAAUAUAGUAUCAGGUAGUUGCUAAUUUGGGAACUAUUUCAGGAAAUGAUUCAGAAGUCCUCUCUGUAAAUAUUCAUGAAAUGAUAAGCUGAUGGUCCAAAAUGCCCAUGUCUUUAAAGAAUUUUCUGCCAUUUUAAGCCACAUAUCAAGUUGACAUUCAUUCUAAUAUCAACUACCAGAUAACGCUUCUAAAUGACCUUUUCUUCUUCUAGUUAAAAAAAAUACUCUGAAAUGUGGACACAGAGGUGGCACUCCUGGCUGACUCCUUGCUGAGAGAUGUGAAUUCGAUGGGUGUUUUGGAGGUGUUAACCAUUACAUCUGCUGGAGCAGUUUUGGAGGGGGUGGUUGUCACUGUUCACUUGCCUCCUCAGAACUUCCUGGCUGUACUUACCUUCUAGGUUCUUUCCCACCAGAAACACCAGUGCCAUUGCAGAAUGUGGAAUCAGGUCCAUCCUGGGCUCCCCUGCCAUCAUGGGACUGGAUAAUACAACAUAGAAGUGCAGGGGAAAUGUUUCUCAGGGCAAAUGUUGGCCAGUGCUUGGCAAGAGACACAAGAGACCACUUAAAUUUCCUCUCUGUUCUUCCCAAUGAAGGCACCUUUUCCAUACCUGUCACCUUAAAACUGUGGAACACUUAGUCAGCAUUUUCUUUCCAAAUUUGCUUGCUUAACUUUCUUUUUCUCUCACUCUUUGUGUUCUGUGAUUGUACUACAAAUUAACACGUUCACUCCAAAAUUGUAUACUACUAAUGUAAUCCAUUAAAAUAUAAAAUCUUGAAUUGGAAUUGCUAUAGAUUUAAUAUAUAAUUUUAUCCACUUAAUAAUCUCUUUUCCCUUUAAAUUUACCAUCCUAGAGUUGCAUUUACUGAGACAUGAAUUGUUUUGGUGGUGAUGGAGAGAUAUUAGGAAUUCAUUUUUGGAUAUUUAAACUUGAGGUGACUACUAAACAAUUAAGUAUAGAUAUAAUGAAGGUAGUUGAUUAUGAGUCUGGAUUUUGGAACAAAGUAUUCAAGAUGGAGAUGCCAAUGUGAGACCUUUAGCAUCCAGAUGGUCAAUCAUACUGAGUUUGGAUGAGAUUUACUAAGGACUGAAUGUUGACAAAGCAAGGGACCCUGCAUGACAAAUAGCUAGAUUUCUAGAUUUAUAGGUUAAGAAAUGAUACAGGCCCAGCAUUGUGGCACAGCAGGUUAAGCCAGCAACCGUGAUGCUGUUAUCUCAUAUUGGAGUGCUGGUUUGUAUCCCGGCUGUUUUGCUUCUGGUCUUGCUCCAUGCUAACAUGCCUGGGAAAACAGUGGAAUAUGGUGCAAGUACUUGGACCUCUGACACCCAGGUGGGAGACUGGGAUGGAGUUUCUGGCUUCAGCCUUGGCUAUUGUGGCCAUUUGAGGAGUGAACCAGUGGAUGUAAGAUGUCUCUCUCCCCCUCUUUGUCACUUGCUUUUCACAUAAAGAAAUAAAUCCUUUUUUAAAAAAAGAAAUUACAAUAGAACAUCAAGCAGACUGGCAAAAUGUCCAGAGAGGUAGAAAAAAACACAUAGAGUGUGAAGUUUUGGAUUUCAAGAGGCAAAAAAGAAUGUAAUGAGGGACAGAAAGUCGGUUAAUGAAUUCACUGAUAAUGACAGGUCAAGUAUAAACAAAUAAGACUGAGAAUCCAAGAAUGGAUAUUUCAGAGUGAAGCAUAAUGUGAAUUUCAUUGAAGCAUAUUUUGUUGAGUAGAAGGAAUGAAAAAUUAAUUAGAAGGUUCAAGGGCGAAUGUGUGAAGGAGAGGCAGUUGUGUAGACAGACACCUCAUUCAAGGAAUUUGGGUGUAGAAGGAAAGAAAAAAGAUACAAGAAGGAAGAGCAAAGAUAUUUAUUUAAAAAUUAGCAUAUAUUGAGGGAAAUGACCCAGAAGAGAAAGAAAAAGUGAAUGCUUUAAGACAGCUAGCAAAAGAAGUAUCAGUGGGGCAAUAUUCUUUAGGGUGGGAGCAGGAUCGACUCUCCUGGCCACUGGAAACUAUGGACAGUUCACCCUCAGUAACAAGAGAAAAUACAGAGAUUCAGAUAGGGUAUACAUAUAUAGUGUUGUGGGUCCAUGAUCAGUAGUUUAUGAUUAUUUCUAUUAUCUUAAUUUGAUAGAGAUCAUUAGCUGAGAGUAUGGCUUGAAAGGGAAUUUUUGAAAAAUCCCAUAUGGGACUUCAGAGUUGCAGGCAGUGACUUAACCCAUUAUGCCAUAAUGCCAACCCUUCCCUGAAGAUCUUCAUUAUGGUUGUAGAAACGAGUACUACAGUGAAAUUGUGAUUUAGUGAAAAUUCAGCAUUUCUUUUAGAAUCUGUUAUGUCAGGAUUUAUUAUAA